AACAUCAAUUUUCUCGCCCGAAUCCCCCUUCUUGGGCGUCUUAAGUGACUGUGAUGCGUCUUUCUGAGAUGCCACAGAGUACGAGUCCUUGGAUUAUGGCGAAGGGAUUUGGAGCGUAGAGAGAAUGAACGUUGCUGGGCGCCCGGUGUUGAUGUCAUUUCAUGAGACAUUGGGAAUCAGUUGUUUCGACAUUU
rnacentral:snoRNA from 1 species